CGGGGCGUAGCGCAGUUUGGUAGCGCACUUGGUUUGGGACCAAGGGGUCGCGAGUUCAAAUCUCGCCGCUCCGACCA
rnacentral:tRNA from 1 species